CCUACGGGUGGCAGCAGUGAGGAAUAUUGGUCAAUGGACGGAAGUCUGAACCAGCCAUGCCGCGUGCAGGAAGACGGCUCUAUGAGUUGUAAACUGCUUUUGUACAAGGGUAAACGUGAAUACGUGUAGUAAGAUAAAAGUACGGUACGAAUAAGGAUCGGCUAACUCCGUGCCAGCAGCAGCGGUAAUACGGAGGAUCCAAGCGUUAUCCGGAUUUAUUGGGGUUAAAGGGUGCGUAGGCGGAUUGCUAAGUCAGAGGUUAAAUGUCCGAGCUGAACUGCGGAACUGCCUCUAAUACUGUUGAUCUUGAGAGUAGCUGCGGUAGGCGGAAUGUCUGGUGUAGCGGUG
rnacentral:rRNA from 1 species